ACUCAAAUGAAUAGACGGGGGCUCACACAAGCGGUGGAGUAUGUGGCUUAAUUCGAGGCUACGCGCAGAACCUUAUCCCAGGCUUGACAUGCACGGAUUAGCCGGCGGAAACGUCGGUGAGGCCGCAAGGUACAACGUGCACAGGUGCUGCAUGGCUGUCGUCAGCUCGUGCCGUGAGGUGUUGGGUUAAGUCCCCUAACGAGCGCAACCCCUGUGUCUAGUUGCCAGCGGGUAAAGCCGGGAACUCUAGACAGACCGCCGGCGUUAAGCCGGAGGAAGGCGGGGAUGACGUCAAGUCCUCAUGGCCCUUAUGCCUGGGGCUGCACACGUACUACAAUGGGGCGGACAGAGCGAUGCCAAACCGCAAGGUCGAGCCAAUCGCACAAACCGUCCCUCAGUUCGGAUUGCGGGCUGCAACCCGCCCGCAUGAAGCUGGAAUCGCUAGUAAUCGCGGAUCAGCAUGCCGCGGUGAAUGUGUUCCUGAGCCUUGCACACACCGCCCGU
rnacentral:rRNA from 1 species